rnacentral:antisense_RNA from 1 species
ACAACUGCAGCGAGAGAAGAGGCUGGCAGCAUGGGUGGCAGGAGGCUUGGCAGCCUCACAGGAUGCCUGCAAAUACCUUUCACUUAUGCAGUUUGGCAGUGCAGUGGUGCAUGGAGACAGCGUCUUGGGCCUGGCACCCACAGCCACUUAGGAAGUUGGAGUCCUGGAGAGGAGAACACAGAACGUGGACAACUAGCUGUCAAAUUGCAGUAAAAGUUGGUUCAGGAAAAGUGGAAGCUACCCAGAUGUCUACCAAUUGGAAGGAGAAGCAGUGUUUUGUCGGAAAGAAGGACUUCAGAUCAGAAAACUUGGCAUUGAGUGCUGUGUCAAGCACAGUUUACAUGCUUCAAGAUGAACCAUCCAAUCUCCUGCCUCGAGUAUUGAAGCCUGGCUACUGUGACUGUGGGGAAGGGAUUAAUGGUCUCAGCAUUCAGUCACAUUUCAAAGGCCAGAUCUUUCCCAGGGCUUAAGCUGUUCCUUGGAUACUUUUGCUGAUGGUUUACACAUCUUCUUCCCACAUUAUAUUGUAACUUUCUU